UAGCGUCUAGGGUCACUCCCUAUCCAUAGCGAGAUCUUGCCACGUGGCCUGUGAUAGGAUCUCGACACAUGUAAAACAUGUGGUUUGGCAUGUUCACGACUGAGCGUGUGCUUGAAACAUAAUCAUCCAAGAGCUUUGUAAUUUCCACGGUGAGCACCCUAUCCCAUCUCAUCCAGCCAACCAUUGUAAUGGCUUCAAUGGUACUUGGUAAGGUGUUGAGCGAGUCAUAGUAAUGAAGUUUUAUGCUGGCAAUUCUCUUGACUAUAAGCUACGCAACCUAAAUACAUAGGCUUAUGCAAAAAGCUCAUGGUUACAAGCACUUUCUUAUAUGGCUUAUACAAAAUUACAUAGGCUUACCAAUUGAGGAGAGCAUCAGGUCUGUCUCGUUCCCCAACUUCAGGUAUAUUGAUUUCAACUUUCAACUUCCAAGUUCCAACAUCGUUGCUUUUACUUGUAGAAGUGUUCCUACCUUGUAUUAUGGUGGACUGGGAAUAAGGGAUAAGGUUUAAGUUAGCAAUCGGGGUUCAACUGAAUUAACAAUCAGGUUAGAUCUCAAAAUAGGUUUGGAUUUAGGCAUUUAUGCCAUAAUACAGCAAAACACUUAUAAUUUCAUUCAUCAAGUAUUUACUAAAAAUGAAGAUUACAUAAAUAUUUAUAAAGAUUGCUAGAUACUUCUAAACCAACUACAACCAGGGUCAACAAUAAGAAACUAACUUGAAACCCCUAGUAAGCAACCAACUUGGACCCCAGAAUGAGAAAACCUAAAUUCCUUGAAUAAUGUUAAAAUAAAAUAAAAUAAACAAUGCAAAACUAAAUUACACAAGAACAAGUAAUGAAUGAGGAUCCUUGAUGACUGCAUCAACAGUUUUCCCAUGGUUCCACUUUAAACUCUCCAUACUGCAUCCAUAGGUUUCCCACGGUUCCACUUUUAAACUCUCCAUAUACUUUUCUGGUGACCGAUUUACUUACCAACAGACUGGUCUUGUCUCUCUUUAACAUUAACACCAGUAGAGGUAGGGUGGCGCUUGAUCUUUCGCAAAGCUCUUUCUGUGUUGUACACUUCAACCUACAUUGAUUUAUGAUGAAACUCAAUUGCGGAGCAAAUAAUACAAGCUUUAAUAGGUAAAGUACUAUUUGUAACAAGCAAUUUGACAGAUGAAAUGAAGGAUAAUGGAAAUUUUACAUAAAGAAAUGAAAUAAGACAUACUCGCCAGUUUCUAAAGUUGUUUCCCUAAGCAAAUGAUACCAUAAAAUGUCAUAUAGCUGCAUGAUAACAACUAGAAUUUUAGGGAAGAAGUGGAAGAACUUUGUUCUAGGUUGAAUAUCAAUACAAAGCUUCAUUCUAGGGAAGAAGUAGAAUUUGGCUAACCAUAUAAUAUAGGACUGCUUUUCUUUUCCUGUUUCUGAAUUAGUUAGGUUACAACACAAUUUUUUUUUCUGUUUAGUAGUUGGAGACAAGCAGCAAAGUAGUCAGUGUCAUGAGUCUGAGAGAACUAGUAUACUGGAUUUUUUUGUGCUUCAGUUAUCUGUUUUAACAACCAAAUCUACCAAGAAUUUCAAAAUCAAAGAGCUUAUAAUUUAUACAAAGUUCUCCACUUUCAAAGGUUAUCCUUUGUCAUUUAGUUUCAUAUUACAUCACUGCAUGUUAUCAAAAUUUCAAAGUUUUCUUUCUCCCUUCACAUUUAGCACUUUAGUACAACCAAUUAUAUUUCAGACACCCAACUAUAGAUUUGUAAAGAAAUCUUUAUACCAUGACAAGAAAAUAAAUUAAGUAGCUAAGAAGAAGUCAGGUCCUUCAAGUUUAAGAAAACUAUUUUGAAGAUAAUAUUCUUACGGCUUCUUUAAUUUGCUUUGUUAUUCCCGCAGCCUUUGCCGUAGCAAGCUGCAAACAUUGCAUGAUAACUCUUUGAGGGACACCUUCUCCACCAGCCUUUUGAAUUGCACAAAUAUCACCAUUUGCGUUAACUGUUGUAGUCAUUCGUCCACCCAUAACAGCUUCCUCAUUGUGGGUU
rnacentral:lncRNA from 1 species